AUGCUUCACGAAUUUGUAGAGCACAUAUACUAAAAUUGGAAUGAUACAGAGAUUAGCAUGGCUCUGAGCAAAGAUGACAAGUUCGGUUAAUGGUGUUGGAAUAACCU
rnacentral:snRNA from 1 species